ensembl:lncRNA
UGUGCUGUAUCACUAGGCAGAGCUCCCCAAUCUCUUCUAAUAAUCUGUAUUGUGCUGUAAUACUAGGCAGAGCUCCCCAAUCUCUUCUAAUAAUCUGUAUUGUGCUGUAUCACUAGGCAGAGCUCCCCAAUCUCUUCUAAUAAUCUGUAUUGUGCUGUAUCACUAGGCAGAGCUCCCCAAUCUCUUGUUUAAACCUGGGGUGGCAUUGGCAUUGAUCAUCAACACACUUGGCAUAGAUCACAUAGGUCAUCAGCACAUCCCUCUACAACUAUAUAUGUCUGUGUGUGUGUGUGUGUGUUUAUUACAUGAUAUGAUUUUCUUUUCAUCAAGUAAUAUUACAUCGAUAUUUCUACCCUGCAGAGUGCACAUCUUAUGGAACUGGCACCUAGACCAAAAUCAAAGAAAAAAACAUUUGGACCAUUGCAACUGUCAACACAGGAAAACAUAUGACAACGUAGCACACACAGACGUUAAGUUAAUGAUGAAUGAGAUACAUAAUGACUUGCCUAGUUAAAUAAAGGUUAUAUAAAAAAACAAUAGUUAAAAUAAAAACGUGAUAUAACAGCAUGGAAAGACUGGCUGACAAGACUGGCCUGGAGACAGCAUUUAUUAAAUCAUAUCAGGAAACAAAAUAUGUAACCAACAUGUAAUGAAUCAUUAGUUUAUGAUAAAACAGUUUCAAUCAAACACAUUUUAUUCACUUUUUAGUCUAUCUCGUGAGGGUUAAUAUUCCCGUUUGAUAAACAUCUGUCAAAACAGACAACCUCUUGUGUAAUUAUGCCUUUAGAAGCAUUUAGGUUGGGCAGGAUCCCUCACAGCAGUGCGUGCCUUUUCUUGUCAUGGCGGAGACUGUUGUAGACCACAGCUGCAGCCACCUCUUUCACUUCAGCUUGAGUUAGUGGUGUGUUCAUCCAUUCAUCCAGCUCUCCCAUGGAAAGGAGAAAAAAACUGCAGUAUGAGUCAACACAUGUCUGGCUGUUAGAAGUAUCCUCAAUGGCACUGGGCACGGACUGUAGUGCACGCAGCUUGUUGUUGUUAUUAUAGUGGGCUAGCUAGCCAUAAAGACAAACCACUUUAGUGAGGGAAAAAUACAUGUUGAAUUGAGUGGGUAACUGCCAUUUCAGUGCUUUAUCAGAUUAAGUUUUGACAUUCAAGAUUCAUGAAUUGGAGAUAUUCAUUAGAACAAAUAACACACUUAACAUAGCAAAGUGCCAACUGGCUACAUAGACAGACUGGAAUACAGAUAAGUAGGCUAGCUGAGUAGGGGAUAUUUGUGGCCGGCAGACUAGGGUGUGGGGCACAGUGUUGUGUUGCUAGCUAUAAAGUGGUGUACUAGCUAGCUAGUGUAGCAUACGCCUCAGCCUGAAGUGUCCCCACUUGCACCAGCGAACAGCUUGCUUUUUGCGUGGCACCGACUGGUAAGAUGCCUCAGGAGGGCGGUCACGUGUGCUAGCAAGGCAGAGGUCCUGAGUUUGUAAGACACUGUAUCGCAAAUGCUUUUCUACAGAUGCUGGUUCGAGACCAGUGCCGGCCGUGACCAGGAGUCCCAUGAGGCGACGCACAAUUGGACCAGCGUUGUCCGAGUUAGGGGAGGGUUUGGCCGGCCGGGAUGUCUUUGUCCCAUCGCGCUGUAGCGACUCCUGUGGCGGACCAGGCACAUGCACACUGACACGGUCACCAGGUGUAUGGUGUUUCCUCUGACAUAAAAAAAAAACAUUUUUGUGGAUGCGUAUAAUUUGUAUGUAGAAUAGUAAUAUUUAAAAUGACUAAAUCAGGUCGUUUUUGUAUACAUUUAUUUAAAUUAGCAUCGGGACACUUUUGGGUGGAUUCUUGUAAGAUGUCGGCAAAGUCAGCUGAAUUCCGGUUGAUGGAAACGGACCGAUGUACUUGGACCUAUUCUGGGCAGUCAUUCAAUGUGAUUCCUGUCCGACACCCGAUUCCGGGCGAUUCAAUCAGUUCCGUUUCUGGGCCGAUUCCUCAUUGCUAGCUGGGCUAGCUAGUGUGCAUGCAGUGACGUAAUGCUAGUGGGCGCGGCCUGCAGUGACGUAAUGCUAGUGGGUGACGUAAUGCUAGUGGGCGCGGCCUGUAGUGACGUAAUGCUAGAUAUUAUUGGGCUAGCAAAAUGAUUAGCUAAAUGUAGCUACAAACUCCAAAAUAGCUCUUAUAGCUAUAUGAAGCUACAUUUGGUCAUGAAAUUCACAAUGAGUUCAUAACAUAACAGGUUAACAACAAGCCUCUUAGCUAUAGACAUGCAGUAUAGGCUACACACAAAAUGUCUGCCACUGUCACAAGUACUGUAGUGAGCUAGCAAUCCAAAUGUCCACUAACCACAAGCAUGCUAGCAACAUUAGUUGACAAAUUAAUGUGUAACCGACACAUUUUGCAACAAUCAAUUUUAUAUCUUAAUAUGUUUAUGUUUUCGUUAAUAUGUUGUUUUCUAGGGGAUAUUUGCUGAUACAGAUGUAAAAUGGACAGGAUCAGAUUAGUGUCAUUUACUGCAUUGGCUUCAUGAGUUGUGUAGCCAGGACGCUUCACCUCAGUGGAUUCCUGGAGUAGCUACUGGACACUUGGUGAACCUAGCCUGAUGAGCCAAUUUACCCUUUGUUACUUCUGAUCAACAAAUCAUACAAACAUAGCUAAUUGCCUUCAAUAGGCUAUACAUAAUAAUGAAUACUCUAAGCAUCGCAUUGAAUAAAUGU